rnacentral:lncRNA from 12 species
GGGCUGGGAUCCGGAUUGGAGCCAAAUCCCGACUCCAAAUCCCCAUUUUUCUCUUUUUCCCCAGUUUUUUCUUAUUUUUCCUCAUUUUCUUCUGCUUUUUUCUCCAUUUCCCCCCAUUUUUUCAUCAUUCUUCCCGUUUUUUUCUCAUUUCUCCCAUUUCCUCAUCUUUAUUUUGAUUCUUCCCAUUUUUCGCCAUUUUCUCCUGCUUUUUUUCCAUUUUUCCCGUUUUAUCCCCGAUUUUUUCCCAAUUUUCAUCCUUCUUCCCGUUUUUUCUCAUUUUCUCUUAUUUUCUUCCACUUAUUUCCAUUUUUAUCAUUUUUCUGCAUUUUCUCCUGCUUUUUAUUCGGGUUUUCCGUCCUCCUUUUCUCCCACUUUUUUCAGUUUUUAAUUUUUUCCCCAUUUUAAAAAUUUCCUUUUUUUUUUUUUGUGUUUUUCCCAUUUUUUCCCAUUUUCUCCAUUUCUCCUCAUUCCCAUUUUUUCCUCAUUUCUUUCCAUUUUCUCUCAGUUUUCCCUCUUUUUUUUGUGUGUUUCUUCCCCUAUUUCCUCCCCAUUUUUUCCCAUUUUCUCCCCAUUUUUUCCCAUUUUUCACCAUUUUUUCGCAAUUUCCUCCCCGUUUUUUCCCAUUUCCUCCCCAUUUUUCCCAUUUUCUCCCCGUUUUUUUCCAAUUUUUCGCAUUUUUUUCCCAUUUUUCCCAUUUCCUCCCCGUUUUUCCCAUUUUAUCUCCAUUUUCUUGCUUUUUCCCCCCGUUUUUUUCCCAUUUUGUCCCCAUUUUUUCCCAAUUUUUUGCCAUUUUUUCAUGUUUUUUCUCCAUUUUUCCCCAUUUUCUCCCCAUUUUUUCCCAUUUUCUCCCCGUUUUUUCCCAUUUUCUCCCCAUUUUUUCCCAUUUCCUCCCCAUUUUUUCCCAUUUUCUCCCCAUUUUUUCCCAUUUCCUCCCCAUUUUUUCCCAUUUUCUCCCCAUUUUUUCCCAUUUCCUCCCCAUUUUUUCCCAUUUUCUCCCAAUUUUUUCCCAUUUUCUUCCCAUUUUUCCUCAUUUUCUCCCCAUUUUUUCCCAUUUCCUCCCCAUUUUUUCCCAUUUUCUCCCCAUUUUUUCCCAUUUCCUCCCCGUUUUUUCUCAUUUUCUCCCAUUUUUUCCCCAUUUUUUCCCAUUUCCUCCCCAUUUUUUCUCAUUUUUCCCCAUUUCCUCUUCUUUUUUUUCCAUUUUUCCCCCAUUUUCUCCCCAUUUUUUCGCCAUUUCCUCC